rnacentral:rRNA from 1 species
ACACGACUACAUUAGACUACCCCCGUAGUCCUGGCCGUAAACGAUGUGGACUUGGUGUUGGAAUGGCUCCGAGCUGCUCCAGUGCCGAAGGGAAGCUGUUAAGUCCACCGCCGUGGGAAGUACGGUCGACAAAGACUAGAAAACGUUAAAGGAAUUGGCGGGGGAGCACAACAACGGGUGGAGCUUGCGGUUUAAUUGGAUUCAACACCGUAAAACUCACCAGGGAAGACUGUUACAUGAAAGCCGAGAUGAAGACUCUGCUAGAUUUUCAG